rnacentral:rRNA from 1 species
AACGAACGCUGGCGGCAGGCCUAACACAUGCAAGUCGAACGCUGUAGCAAUACAGAGUGGCAGACGGGUGAGUAACGCGUGGGAACGUGCCUUUCGGUUCGGAAUAACUCAGGGAAACUUGAGCUAAUACCGGAUACGCCCUUCGGGGGAAAGAUUUAUUGCCGAAAGAUCGGCCCGCGUCCGAUUAGCUAGUUGGUGUGGUAAUGGCGCACCAAGGCGACGAUCGGUAGCUGGUCUGAGAGGAUGAUCAGCCACACUGGGACUGAGACACGGCCCAGACUCCUACGGGAGGCAGCAGUGGGGGAUAUUGGACAAUGGGCGCAAGCCUGAUCCAGCCAUGCCGCGUGAGUGAUGAAGGCCCUAGGGUUGUAAAGCUCUUUCGCCAGGGACGAUAAUGACGGUACCUGGAUAAGAAGCCCCGGCUAACUUCGUGCCAGCAGCCGCGGUAAAAC